rnacentral:rRNA from 1 species
AGCAGCCGCGGUAAUUCCAGCUCCAAUAGCGUAUAUUAAAGUUGUUGCAGUUAAAAAGCUCGUAGUUGAAUUUCGGGGUCAGUAGGCUGGUCAUGCCACAGGUAUGUACUGGUCUCACUGAUUCCUCCUUCCUGAUGAACCGUAAUGCCAUUAAUUUGGUGUUGCGGGGAAACUGGACUGUUACUUUGAAAAAUUAGAGUGUUUAAAGCAGGCUAACGCUUGAAUACAUUAGCAUGGAAUAAUGAAAUAGGACGUUCGAUCCUAUUUUGUUGGUUUCUAGGAUUGACGUAAUGAUUAAUAGGGAUAGUUGGGGGCAUUAGUAUUCAAUUGUCAGAGGUGAAAUUCUUGGAUUUAUUGAAGACUAACUACUGCGAAAGCAUUUGCCAAGGAUGUUUUCAUUAAUCAAGAACGAAAGUUAGGGGAUCGAAGACGAUCAGAUACCGUCGUAGUCUUAACCAUAAACUAUGCCGACUAGGGAUCGGAUGAUGUUAAUUUUUUAAUGUACUCA